GAUGGCUCUGGAACACAGCUGAGUUACUGGAAACCACACGGAGAAGUCCACUGCCGCUCGCUCCAGCGAGGUGGUGGCCCUUCCCUCAGGGUUGCUCCUCGGGAAGUGAUGGUGGUCUUGGUGGACGUCCAUGGGGCCAGCUGCUGCACCGUCUGGGCUCACUGGUCUGCCUUGGUCUGGGUCUUGCGUGUGCUAGUGGAUGGCCAGGGCAGCAGAGUCAUUGGGCUGCUCUAGGAGCUCCCCUGGGAGGAAGAAAGUGCAGUUGUCUGGUCUGAGGUGGUGGCUCACCUGGGUGUAGCUCACCCAGAGCUCCAGAUGCAGCAGCCUGGAGAGAGGAGUGGGAGCCUCGCGAUCAGGUGGUUUAUCGAGUGGUUACCACAUCCAGGCAUGCUGCCAGGAGGAGAGGAGCUGUGGGUGAAGCUGAUAGGAUUCCUGCUGGACUCACGGAGCUUGGGUUACUGAAGACACGUUACCCAUGUUUAGCCAGGAGGGUCUCACUGUUGCUCAGGCUGAAGUGCUAUGGUAUGAUCUUGGCUCACUGCAGCCUCGAC